AGUAAUGCUUGGGAAUCUAGCUUAUGGAGGGGGAUAACUACGGGAAACUGUAGCUAAUACCGCGUAAUAUCGAGAGAUUAAAGUGUGGGACCUUCGGGCCACAUGCCAUAGGAUGAGCCCAAGUGGGAUUAGGUAGUUGGUGAGGUAAAGGCUCACCAAGCCGACGAUCUCUAGCUGGUCUGAGAGGAUGACCAGCCACACUGGGACUGAGACACGGCCCAG
rnacentral:rRNA from 1 species